rnacentral:lncRNA from 1 species
GUACAGCCACAUAGAAACCUCUAUAAUAUAUUUUACACUUUAAGCAAUAGGUUUCAUUUAUCCUCUCUAUAUCUGUAUUAUGUCUUUUAGGAGGAGAACAGGGGCGACUGCUGAGCAGCAGUGCUAUGCAGGAUUUUUACCAAGCAGAUUCAGAAAAUAAAAAUAAAUAAACACACGGCAAAAUUUAGAGAAUUUAACAGCUAAUACAUUUAUAUUUUUUUAAAUCAUAUAUAUAUAUAUAUAUAUAUAUUAUAAUUUUUCGACGAUCCGAAUCCUCUUCGGCCACACUAGCUCCAUUCACCAGCGGCCCCGAGAUCUUCCAAACAGGAAACAAGCAAUGGCUACGAUCAAUACAAAUAAGAGCAAAGGCAACGAUAUCACUAUUACAUGCAUCUUCUUCUCUAUUAUUGCAAUUUCUGCUUUUCUCUCUUUACAAGUAGUGGUGCGAUUCCUCUACUCCUGCAUUGACACGAAAACAUAUAUAUUUUUUCAAGAAACAAGUGCUACUAAUUAGUAUUAUUGAUUUUUUAUUGAAG